CAUUGGCUCAAACAAACACACACACACACACACACACACACACACACACACACACACACACACACACACGCGCACACAAAAUGAUGGCUCAGAAUAAUCUUGACAGGACAGGAAGUGGUGCAGGAAGAGGAUAGCUCUGUAGGGCAAAGGUUAUGGCUGAUUGUGAGAAUCAUCAUAUACAAGCACUUUAUUCCCUCACUAGAGCACAAAAGAGGUGAAAGGUCAAGAUCAUGCAGUGUUCUGAAAACUAUUUUUAGUGUUUGUUUAGAAACUGUGCUGUCUGUCAAUUUCACUGAAGGAGGCGUGGCCUCUGUGUCAUCUGUCAGUCUCAGUGAAGGAGGCGUGGCCUAUGUGUUGUCUGUCGCAGUGAAGGAGGCAUGGCCUAUGUCCUCUGUCAGUCUCAUUGAAGGAGGCGUGGCCUAUGUGUUGUCUGUCUGCCUCAGUGAAGGAGGCGUGGCCUAUGUGUUGUCUGUCUGCCUCAGUGAAGGAGGUGUGGCCUCUGUCCUCUGUCAGUCUCAGUGAAGGAGGCGUGGCCUAUGUGUGUGCCUUUCCUUCCAAAUGAGGGAGGCGUGGCCUCUGUGCCUUUCACUCCUAAUAUUUCUUUAAAUCCUUAUUUUUCUUAAUAUUAUAAGGCAUUUCUCUUCAUUUUAGCUACAGCAGUGACUUAUGCU